rnacentral:siRNA from 1 species
AAAAAAAUGGGCCGAGUUCGG